GACGAACGCUGGCGGCGUGCCUAAUACAUGCAAGUCGAACGCUUCUUUCCUCCCGAGUGCUUGCACUCAAUUGGAAAGAGGAGUGGCGGACGGGUGAGUAACACGUGGGUAACCUACCCAUCAGAGGGGGAUAACACUUGGAAACAGGUGCUAAUACCGCAUAACAGUUUAUGCCGCAUGGCAUAAGAGUGAAAGGCGCUUUCGGGUGUCGCUGAUGGAUGGACCCGCGGUGCAUUAGCUAGUUGGUGAGGUAACGGCUCACCAAGGCCACGAUGCAUAGCCGACCUGAGAGGGUGAUCGGCCACACUGGGACUGAGACACGGCCCAGACUCCUACGGGAGGCAGCAGUAGGGAAUCUUCGGCAAUGGACGAAAGUCUGACCGAGCAACGCCGCGUGAGUGAAGAAGGUUUUCGGAUCGUAAAACUCUGUUGUUAGAGAAGAACAAGGACGUUAGUAACUGAACGUCCCCUGACGGUAUCUAACCUGAAAGCCACGGCUAACUACGUG
rnacentral:rRNA from 1 species